rnacentral:rRNA from 1 species
UAGGGAAUCUUCCGCAAUGGGCGAAAGCCUGACGGAGCAACGCCGCGUGAGUGAUGAAGGGUUUCGGCUCGUAAAACUCUGUUAUUAGGGAAGAACAAAUGUGUAAGUAACUGUGCACAUCUUGACGGUACCUAAUCAGAAAGCCACGGCUAACUACGUGCCAGCAGCCGCGGUAAUACGUAGGUGGCAAGCGUUAUCCGGAAUUAUUGGGCGUAAAGCGCGCGUAGGCGGUUUCUUAAGUCUGAUGUGAAAGCCCACGGCUCAACCGUGGAGGGUCAUUGGAAACUGGGAAACUUGAGUGCAGAAGAGGAAAGUGGAAUUCCAUGUGUAACGGUGAAAUGCGCAGAGAUAUGGAGGAACACCAGUGGCGAAGGCGACUUUCUAGUCUGUAACUGACGCUGAUGUGCGAAAGCGUGGGGAUCAAACAGG